GACGUAGGGUGCAAGGCGUUGUCCGGAUUUACUGGGCGUAAAGCGCGCGUAGGCGGUCUGUUAAGUGUAGAGUGAAAGCUCCGGGCUCAACCCGGAAAUUGCUCUGCAUACUGGCAGACUUGAGGGAUGCAGAGGUUUGUGGAAUUCCUAGGUGUAACGGUGAAAUGUGGUUGAUAUCAGGAGGAACACCCGAUGGCGAAGGCAGCAAACUGGGCAUCAUCUGACGCUGAGGCGACGGAAAGCGUGGGUAGCAAACAGG
rnacentral:rRNA from 1 species